rnacentral:rRNA from 1 species
UACGGAGGGUGCGAGCGUUGUCCGGAAUCACUGGGCGUAAAGGGCGCGUAGGCGGGCAUCCAAGUCUGUGGUGAAAUCCGGCAGCUUAACUGUCGAACUGCCGUGGAUACUGGGUGUCUCGAGGGAGGUAGGGGCGUGCGGAACUAUUGGUGGAGCGGUGAAAUGCGUUGAUAUCAAUAGGAACUCCGGUGGCGAAGGCGGCACGCUGGACCUCUUCUGACGCUGAGGCGCGAAAGCCAGGGGAGCAAACGGG